AUGCGAUUGAUCAUCGAUUUUGGUCCAUAAUUAUCGAAUACGCAUUAUCGUUGAUUUUAUUAAUCAACCAGUUAUCGAAUAUACACGACCGAUCGUCGAUUUUAAUCGACAAUCGUCGAAUACACCGUGAUUAAUCAUCGAUUUCAAUCCAUAACUAUCGAGUAUGCAUUACCAAUCGCCGAUUUUAAUCGAUAGUUACCGGAUGCACGUGAUUAAUCACCGAUUUCAAUCCAUAACUAUCGAGUACGCAUUACCAAUCGCCGAUUUUAAUCGAUAGUUAACGGAUACCCGCGAUUAAUCAUUCAUUUCAGUCCAUAAUUAUCGAGUGCGUAUUAUCAAUCGUCGAUUUUAGUCGAGAACGACCGAAUAAACACGAUUUAUUGUCGACUUUGUAUUAUAGUUCGUAACUUCCAAAUAAACACGAGCGAUCGUCGAUUUCAGUAUACGUACGAACGCCGAGGCGAGCAGGUUAAAUGUAUAAAUUGUUUGUCGGAUCGAUGUUGAUUUGUUCACGGUUUGCAUUGUGAAGCGUUCUUAAAUGAGAAACGAGCCUCCCGUGUUAAUUGGUACAGGCGAGCGUUUCCGGUCGAUAGCGUAUCGCGAUUGGACCGUGCCGCAUCUAUGAAAAUUCGUGUUCUUUUUUUUCUCUCUCUCUCUCUCUCUCUCUUUUUACUUUCGAUUGCUUUUCCCUUCGUGUAGCGAGGGCACGUUUGAUAAUUCACUCGUUAACGAUGAAAAAAAACGAUUGUUCCAGGGCGAAAAUGGGUUAGAACGAGCAAAUAGUUCGCGGGGGAAGCGAGGAUUUCAAUUGUUUGACGCGAUUCCGCGUUUCGAAUAAAUUGACGGAUUUUUCUGUAAGUGUUGUUACGAAAACGCGAAUUUUGAUUGCUCGAGCUUGCUUUAACGAACCGGGACCAGUGACCCAGUCACUGGAAUUUCGUGAGCGCCAAUUUGGGAUGAAAGUUUGACGUUGGAAUUAUAUAAUUAAUUUAUAUAAGAAAUUUUUUAGGAAAGAAUUUUUAUAUACCUAUAAUGCACUGGUGCUCGUCGAUAAAUUACGGUUCAUAAAUAAGGAUUUCCAUCAAAUGGUAUGUGAAACAGAAACAAAGGUUCGUAAUUCAUCAUAUUCAAUCGUGUACUAUUAUUCCUUUAACCUAUAUACGACUGGAUUACGUACAUUUACUUUCACUUCAUUUUAACUAAUAACAAGAAACAAUAAUUAAUUUCCGGUAUUAACAAGAAUAGAAACAGGAAUGACCUAGUGAAUCCCUUUCCUUUGUACAACCAUGUAACAAAUUAAACAAGUUAGCUGUAACAGGCAAUGUUCGAGAUAUCCUGCUCGAG